rnacentral:tRNA from 1 species
GGAUGGGCGGCGAAGACGGCGAGUCGCGCCAGACUGUAAAUCUGGAGCCCUUGAGGGCUGCGUGAGUUCAACUCUCACUCCAUCCA